UUACAGAAAGUUCAAAAGGCCUA
rnacentral:siRNA from 1 species